UACGAAGGGUGCAAGCGUUACUCGGAAUUACUGGGCGUAAAGGGUGCGUAGGUGGUUUGUUAAGUCUGCUGUGAAAUCCCCGGGCUCAACCUGGGAAUGGCAGUGGAUACUGGCAAGCUAGAGUGCGGUAGAGGGUAGUGGAAUUCCCGGUGUAGCAGUGAAAUGCGUAGAGAUCGGGAGGAACACCAGUGGCGAAGGCGGCUACCUGGACCAGCACUGACACUGAGAGACGAAAGCUAGGGGAGCGAAUGGG
rnacentral:rRNA from 1 species